rnacentral:misc_RNA from 1 species
CUCAUACUUCACUAAACCCUAGAGCCGCUCCCCGCUGCUCUUGUGGGAUUCAUGUUCCUACUGCUUGCAAACAGGGCUAUAAGUAUGUCCUCUUCCUCUCUUGUUUCUAGGUUUCUGCAGCCCUUUUGAUUUCCUCUUCUGUGAUUUUGUUUAUGAGUCUCACAAUUUUUGGGUUCAUUUUUGUUUCUGUGAUAAGCGCAGCCCUUAAGAUCGCCUUCCAGAUACAAUGGAAGUGUUUUGAGUCAUAGCUGCGCAAUAUUAAGCAUUUAUGGACUUCUCUUUAGGGUUUUCCUAUUGAGUUGUCCUUCUUGUCCCACUGGAGAUUGCUUGAGGCAUUGCCUUGUUCUCUGUUCCUAUGCUUCCCAUUUUGUUUCAACUAAUGGGAAUCAGGCCCGUUGAUACUUUAUCAAAUGGUUCGUUCUCUCUUGGGUGGGAAACAAUUGUAAAAUUUUGCCCAGAUUUGUAUUUUUUUUCUUGGCAAGAAUGAUGAAUCAAUUAGAUGUUUGAAUGGAAAUAAUCCUUUACCCUUUGUUUGAAUCCUUAGUUGUGCAGUGGAAAUGAAGAGAAAAGAAACGAAAGGAAAUCUAAUUUCCAUUAUGAACUCUACAAGUGAGGCAUAUUAAUUGUUUGACUUGCCCAUAUUUUGCUAGUUGAUUUCAAUCAAGUAUUUGUUUUUAUUGUCUGUCUGAACUGAAAUGCUGUCAUAAUUGUGCAAUUUCGUGUGAUUUGAAUCAUCUGUCUUUGUUCUGUUGGUUUCUUACCUGGUUGUUGUAAAUUCAUUAGCUUUAUAUGUUAUUAUUCUGUGAGUGGCGGAAAGUCUUAUUCAUACACAUCUUCGUUCCAGCAAUGGAAACAUUUCCACCUGAUGCGUAUGUGCACCAUCACGGCUGCCAAUCCGUAUUUUAUGGAAUGGAGCUUUUAAAUAAGUGAAUUGGUUAAUGAAAUAUAUGUUGAUGAUGACAAAUACAGGGUUGUUUAUCAAAACAUUUGCAGUGGCCGCCUAAGAGCUUUCACCUUCGCCAGGCUUGAGAGCUGGUGCUGCUUCAAUGCUUCCUUGGAUGUCUGAGACUCCAAUUCCCAAAUAAAUAAGAGAGUUACAGCACUUAAUUGCUUCAUUUGAUCAGGUUAAACUCUUAGGUAAAUCAAAUCUCCGUUAAAUAUUACUUAAAUUCUCCGAAAUUGUUUACUUUUUUCACAUCUUUUAGGUUUUCUGUGUCCUGAAUUACAUUCCUCAUUAUCUGCAACUAAGUUGAGUGCCAUUUGCAUCUCUACAAACCAUUCCUUUUUGUGCCUUAAUUAAUUAAUUGCCUCUCAAUGCUGUUUUGACAACAUAAUUAUGUGUGAAAUCUUACUUUUUGAAAAUAGGAGUGCAUAUUGCUGUAUUGUUUAGUCUUGUUGAUGAUGACAAAUUUUGGGUUUGUUUCACAAAACAUUCGUAGUGGCCGCCUAAGAGUUUCAUUUUCGCCAGGCUUGAGAGCUCCGUGGAUGUCUGAAACCUUCAUUCCAGUCCUAUUAGAUUUAACAUCUGUGGUUGUAAUUACUGCCCACGAUUGAUUUGAGAUGAGCGUUCUUUGGUGUCAUCAUGUUAUCGUGGAAAGUUGCAUGGUUAUGGUAUAAUGUAACAUAUGUGCAGAGCCCACAGAUUGAAUCUUUGUUGAUAGAUGAUUUAGAAAUCCAAAGGCUUGUACCUCGAAGCAUUUCUAGCGGCUGUCUAUUUCACAGAUGAUUGAGAAGUUCCAAGGCUUUGUAUCACAAAGCAUUUCGCAGGACCUGAGAGCUUCUGCCACUUCAAAUCCCCCCCUUAGAUGUUUGUUUAUUUAAAUAGUUGUCUAAAAAUGUUUUUUAAGAAAUUUAGAAAAUAGAGUUUCUUAUUUUACGGGAAAC